rnacentral:lncRNA from 1 species
CUUGGUUGUCAGCUUGAUUACAUUGAGAAAUUCCUAGAAAAUUGGUGCCAAGAAGUGAGGUCAUUGCUGUGACUGUACUAAUGAUAUAGUUCAGAAGCUUUCAAAAUUGGUUUGCAGUCGGAAUUUGGAAAAGUUUGUAGAAGCAGACUACCUAAAGCUUAGAAUGUUGUAAGCAGAUCUUAAUGGGUGAUUCUGGUGAGGGCUUAGAAGAUCAGAAUGCUGAUAGAUAGAAAUGUGAAUACUAAAGGUUAAGCUCAGGUUUUAGAUGGAAAUAAGCAAUAUUGGGACUAAAGGCCACCCACUCACUUUACACUGUGGCAAGGGAUUUGAAUGCAUUUUGUCCAUGCCUGAGGCUUUGUGAAAGGCUAAGUUUAAAGGUAACCAACUGACUAACAUGACAGUAAAUUUUAAGGCAGC